GCUUGGGGUGGGUUUUUGCACCAGAAAAGAGGGCAACAGCCUCCUCUCCUUGCAGAGAAAUUCACAAAGUCGUGACCGAGAGGAAAGAGCGCCAUCUACUGCAUCGUCAAAACCUCUCCUUUCCCCUCUGAAAGUCGUUCUUGGAGAUGUCUUCAGUAAUUUACGGUCCUGACCUAGCUUAGCUCUUCUUCAUCCGAAAUGAUAACACGAGCCAACUCGGUGAGCCGGGUCCCUGCGAUGUUCCAGAAUCAAGCACCUGGAGCGAAGCUAUGCGAAGCCAAGCUUAGGUAGCCUACUGAAGAUCAAAAUCAUACCUUCCUUUGCUAAAUGUGGAGAGGAGAAAUGGAUUAACUAGGGAGGUAAGUAGAAUGAUUAGAUUUUCACCAAUUCCUUAUUAGGAGAGUCUGAAUGAAUGAGAUAUUACCAUCUUUUUCCCCCCUCUGUAAAGAAGAACAUUUAAUUCAUCCGUUCAGUCGUAUUUGAUGUAGAUGCAACAGUGGCCUAGUGAAUAGAGCACAGGCUUGGGAGUCAGCAGGACCUGGGUUCUAAUGCCACUUGUCUUUUGUGGGACCUUGGGCAAAUCACCUAACUCCCUUUGCCUUAGUAACUUCAUCUGUAAA
rnacentral:lncRNA from 1 species